rnacentral:rRNA from 1 species
UACGUAGGGGGCAAGCGUUGUCCGGAUUCAUUGGGCGUAAAGAGCGUGUAGGCGGCCAGGUAGGUCGGUUGUGAAAACUGGAGGCUCAACCUUCAGACGUCGACCGAAACCAUCUGGCUAGAGUCCGGGAGAGGAGAGUGGAAUUCCUGGUGUAGCGGUGAAAUGCGCAGAUAUCAGGAAGAACACCCGUGGCGAAAGCGGCUCUCUGGAACGGUACUGACGCUGAGACGCGAAAGCGUGGGGAGCGAACGGG